rnacentral:rRNA from 1 species
UACAGAGGUCUCAAGCGUUGUUCGGAUUCAUUGGGCGUAAAGGGUGCGUAGGCGGCGCGGUAAGUCGGGUGUGAAAUCUCGGAGCUUAACUCCGAAACUGCAUUCGAUGCUGCCGUGCUUGAGGACUGGAGAGGAGACUGGAAUUUACGGUGUAGCAGUGAAAUGCGUAGAUAUCGUGAGGAAGACCAGUGGCGAAGGCGGGUCUCUGGACAGUUCCUGACACUGAGGCACGAAGGCCAGGGGAGCAAACGGG